rnacentral:sRNA from 1 species
UUUAUGUUAAAUGCUGUCCAUUUACUUGCUCUUUUUCUCUUCAUUAGAAAACUAUGUGCAAGCUGUGGAGGAGUUCCAGUCCUGCCUUAACCUGCAGGAACAGUACCUGGAAGCCCACGACCGUCUCCUUGCAGAGACCCACUACCAGCUGGGCUUGGCUUAUGGGUACAACUCUCAGUAUGAUGAGGCAGUGGCACAGUUCAGCAAAUCUAUUGAAGUCAUUGAGAAGAGAAUGGCUGUACUAAAUGAGCAGGUGAAGGAGGCUGAAGGAUCGUCUGCUGAAUACAAGAAAGAAAUCGAGGAACUAAAGGAACUGCUACCCGAAAUUAGAGAGAAGAUAGAAGAUGCAAAGGAGUCUCAGCAUAGUGGGAAUGUAGCUGAACUGGCUCUGAAAGCUACUCUGGUUGGUUCCGUUAACAUUUUGGUAAUAGCAUGUUUGGUACCAUUUAUGUUAAUGUUCCAUUUGCCAGGAACUUUUCAUCAUGACUUGGUUUCCAGGGAGUUGGUGGGCUCAUCUAAUUAUUCCUAUCAAAUAAUGCAGUGGUUAAGAGGAAAUACCCUGGAGCCCCAGUAUCUGGGUUUUAAUUCCAUACUUAUGUGUGGCCAUGGGCAUUCUCUCCCUCAGUUGACCGAUUUGUAAAAUG